ACUGAACCAUUGUACCACACAUGUAUUUCAGAUUUUUAGUGAGAAAGAGUGGUCAAAUUCUUAAACUAUCUCCACUAUCUCAAUUCUCCAGUUCUCUCUCUAGAAAAAUUAAGAACCCUUAGCGUGAACUCUCUGCGACCGAAGAACCCCACCCACCCAGGCAGCCUUCAAUUCAAUUCCAAUGGCGAACAGCAAUCUUCCUCGUAGAAUUAUCAAGGAAACUCAACGGCUUCUCAGCGAACCUGCACCAGGAAUAAGUGCAUCUCCAUCGGAAGAUAAUAUGCGAUACUUUAAUGUCAUGAUUCUUGGUCCUACACAGUCUCCUUAUGAAGGUAAUGAGCCCAAUUUUAAGAUUU